rnacentral:rRNA from 1 species
CAAAAUGACUCUCGGCAACGGAUAUCUCGGCUCUCGCAUCGAUGAAGAACGUAGCGAAAUGCGAUACUUGGUGUGAAUUGCAGAAUCCCGUGAACCAUCGAGUCUUUGAACGCAAGUUGCGCCCGAAGCCAUUAGGCUAAGGGCACGUCUGCCUGGGUGUCAAA